AAUGGAAGAAGUGAGUUAUGUGAACAACCAAAAUCAAGGCUAUCAAAGGCAACCUCCACCCCACAACAACUCAUAUUAAAGGAACAAUCAAGGUUAUCAACCAUCGAGGUUCAACAACCAAAAUUUUCAGCAACAAAGUCCUUAUCAACACCCAAAUUCUCAAGGACAACAAUCGCAAGGAGGAAAUUCAAAGCUAGAGGACACUCUCCAACAAUUCAUGCAAGC
rnacentral:lncRNA from 1 species